rnacentral:lncRNA from 13 species
UUUCCUUAUCUAACUACAGGGGAAUGAAGAAUGAAAUUAAGCCCCCCUGUUUUCAUUUAGCACCUCCUCUAGCAAGUCAUUGCUGUGGCUGGCAUGGGAGAAAGGUUUAUGAGGAACAACUCCACUAUCACAGAGCAAGCAAAAAGGGGUUCACUGGCUGUCUGGGUCCCAGAAGGGGAAGUUUUCUUCAAGGUACAGAAGCCAUGACUCUGCAGAGAACUGCAGCUGCCGGCCAGGUGUGGGAGGCUGCUGGGCCGAGCUUCCCCAGCAGGUUGACUUAUUUCCAUCAGCACCAAGGCCGCUGGAGGGAGGAUCAUCCACCAGCAAAGGAAGCGGGGGCGUGGCUUGGAGGCUGUUUCAGAAGUCCCACUGAGCCAAGGACUCAAGGCCUGGCCACAGCCCUCCCCCAUGAGGCCCAGAUCAUAUUUCACCACUCUCAAAAAACCUCUGCUCAUUUCAGUCCAGGGUGA